rnacentral:hammerhead_ribozyme from 1 species
GUGCUAGUGAAGAGUCCCAAACUAGGACGAAACAGUUGUCCAGUAC